CUAAAAGUGGGCGUGUCUAUUAGUGGGAGUGUCUAGAAGUGGGAGUGUCUGUUAGUGGGAGUGUCUAGAAGUGGGAGUGCCUUGUAAUGAUAAUUUUAGAACUGUAUGUCAUUCUGAGGUUAUUUCUCAGUUUUAGAUUGUCAUUGGUUGGAAGGUGAAGUGAUGUUUCCCUGUACAGUAUAUAAAGAGAUGCCCCACUGAACAUCAUUCACUGCUUACAGAAGGAGAGGAAAGGCUGGACUCCACUCCGUUUCACUGUACAGCUUAACCUUCCUCAAUCUACAGAUUCCCCUUUUCUCCAAGAGGAGCAGCAGCUGCUGAAAGUCAGUCAGGCAAGAAGAUGGGGAGAAAGGACCUUAAUCAGGCUGUCAGGGCUGAAGAAGCAGAUCUGAACAGACAUUUUAGGGCCAUAAAAGACCACUCUAAUGAUGGCUUAGUUCCACUCAUCCAUAAAUGUCUACUGAUGCCCCUGGAUAUGCCCAUCUCAGCCACCAGAGGGAG